UACAGAGACUGCGAGCGUUAUUCGGAUCCACUGGGCGUAAAGGGUGCGCAGGCGGCCAAGUGUGUGAGGCGUGAAAGCCCGGGGCUUAACCCCGGAAUUGCACCUCAAACUACAUGGCUAGAGUAUUGGAGAGGGUAACGGAAUUCACGGUGUAGCAGUGAAAUGCGUAGAUAUCGUGAGGAACACCAGAGGCGAAGGCGGUUACCUGGACAAUUACUGACGCUCAGGCACGAAAGCGUGGGUAGCAAAAGGG
rnacentral:rRNA from 1 species